GGCAAGAUGGCCGAGCGGUUAAGGCGUGUGACUCAAGCGUAAGCUUCCUGCUUCCAGUAGGUUUCUCAUCACAGUAAUGUGGCAGGGGUUCGAGUCCCCUUCUUGUCA
rnacentral:tRNA from 1 species